GGCAAAUGGUUUGCUUGCUGCAUCUCAUGGGAUACUUUUACUAUUACAAAAAGAAGAAAAGAAAUUGAAUUUAUAAUACCCAAGAUAAAAUGUAAUUUGACAGAAAGAUAGCUGUUAUUUCUUGCUGGUUGAGUGAUCACAUAAAGGUUCCCAAGCUGGCUUAUAGAAAUAAUAGCUGAAGAGUGGCUGAAAGGAUAAGAAGUUCAACUACUGAUCUCAAGGUCAGAUGGUUUGACAGGAGUUGGCAGGCUGGACUGGAGAGCUGCACCAGGCUCCACUCGUCUGUUUUGGCAUGAUUUCUAUGGUGAGAUACCCUUCCUAAUGCCAACCACUCUACAGAGUGUACUAGGUGCUUUUCAUGAGGCACCAGCAUGGGAGCUUUUUACAUGGUGCCAGCAUGGAUGCUUUUUAUGUGGUGCCUUGUAAAAAGUACAGGUGCUUAUGUGGUACCAGCAUGGAUGCUUUUUUAUGUGGCACCUACAUGGGAUAUCACUAAUAAAGAAAGGGAAAAUUUAUUGUAACUUCAACUGAUGAUCCACUGACAAGUUGUUUUUAUCUACAUGAAGGAAAACAAUAUGAUGAUAUAAUCUGAAAGUAAAAUUAUUAAUUCUAUUUGGAUCAUCUGAAUAUAUUGUAUGUAUAACCCUAUGACAAAGAAUACACCAUAUUAAUUAACAAUACUAGCUGAGUAGGCUGGGUAUACUUUAUAUGUGUGUUUACAACAUUAUAUAAACACACACAUGCAUGUGCACAUACACACACUCACCAUUCUAACUCAUUCCUUAUAUCAAUACUUUAGAAUAUUGUUUUUAGCACUUAAUUUAUAUCUUAAGAUA